UGGGGAAUUUUGCACAAUGGGGGAAACCCUGAUGCAGCGACGCCGCGUGAUUGAGAAGGCCUUCGGGUUGUAAAAUUCUUUUCUAUGGGAAGAAAAUGACAGUACCAUAGGAAUAAGGACCGGCUAAUUACGUGCCAGCAGCCGCGGUAAUACGUAAGGUCCGAGCGUUGUCCGGAAUUAUUGGGGGGAAAGGGUACGUAGGCGGGUAAGAAAGUUAGAAGUGAAAUCCUAUCGCUCAACUAUAGUAAGCUUUUAAAACUGCUCAUCUUGAGGUAGGGAAGGGAAAGUGGAAUUCCUAGUGUAGCGGUGAAAUGCGCAGAUAUUAGGAGGAAUACCGGUGGCGAAGGCGACUUUCUGGCCAUAACCUGACGCUGAGGUACGAAAGCGUGGGUAGCAAACAGG
rnacentral:rRNA from 1 species